rnacentral:rRNA from 1 species
AAUAUUGGAUAAUUGGCGAAAGCCUGAUCCAACCAUGCCGCGUGUGUGAAGAAGGUCUUCGCAUUGUAAAGCACUUUAAGUGGGGAGGAAGUUCAGUAAGUUAAUACCUUGCUGUUUUGACGUUACCGACAGAAUAGGUACCGCCUAACUCCGUGCCACCAGCCGCGGUAAUCCGAAGGGUGCAAGCGUCAAUCGGAAUUACAUGGCGUAAAGCGCGCGUAGGUGGUUUGUUAAGUUGGAAGUGAAAGACCCGGGCUCAACCUGGGAACUGCUUUCAAAACUGGCAAGCUAGAGUAUGGCAGAGGGUGGUGUAAUUUCCUGUGUAGCGGUGAAAUGCGUAGAUAUAGGAAGGAACAUCAGUGGCGAAGGCGACUACCUGGACUGAUACUGACACUGAGGUGCGAAAGCGUGGGGAGCAAACAGG